rnacentral:rRNA from 14 species
CCUGUUGAGCUUGACUCUAGUUUGACAUUGUGAAAAGACAUAGGGGGUGUAGAAUAGGUGGGAGCUUCGGCGCCGGUGAAAUACCACUACCCUUAUCGUUUUUUUACUUAAUCAAUGAAGCGGAACUGGUCUUCAUCGACCAUUUUCUUGCAUUAAAGUCCUUCGCGGGCUGAUCCGGGUUGAUGACAUUGUCAGGUGGGGAGUUUGGCUGGGGCGGCACAU